rnacentral:rRNA from 1 species
ACUCAAAUGAAUUGACGGGGGCCCGCACAAGCGGUGGAGCAUGUGGUUUAAUUCGAUGCAACGCGAAGAACCUUACCUACCCUUGACAUGUUGCGAACCUGGUUGAAAGACUGGGGUGCCGAAAGGAACGCAAACACAGGUGCUGCAUGGCUGUCGUCAGCUCGUGUCGUGAGAUGUUGGGUUAAGUCCCGUAACGAGCGCAACCCUUGUUCUUCGUUGCCAUCAUUAAGUUGGGCACUCGAAGAAGACUGCCGGUGACAAACCGGAGGAAGGUGGGGAUGACGUCAAGUCAUCAUGGCCUUUAUGGGUAGGGCUACACACGUGCUACAAUGGGGCGUACAGAGGGUUGCCAACCUGCGAAGGGGAGCUAAUCCUGCAAAACGCCUCGUAGUCCGGAUCGGAGUCUGCAACUCGACUCCGUGAAGUUGGAAUCGCUAGUAAUCGCGAAUCAGAAUGUCGCGGUGAAUACGUUCUCGGGCCUUGUACACACCGCCCGU